GGCCCUACAACUCCAAUUGGAGUUCUCAAUAGAACUUUAAGCAAAAUACAAGCAAACACCUAAGUUCCAAGCAAAAUUCAAGGAAGCACCCAAAUUACACAAAGUUAGAGAAGCUGCCAAGUAAACCUUUCAUAUUUUUCUCAUGCUUUCAAUUCAAAUGUCAUAUUUCCUAAUUUCCAUAUAAUGUGGCAUCUAAUUAGAAUUUUAUCUGCCAUAGACCACCACAAAGCAAAUAGGAGGGCAAACAUACCAAAUUGCAGCUAAGGUAAUGGAUAUGCAAGAGCUAUGACCAGUGGUUCUGGGUCAACAUUAUUCGAGGAGCUUUCUACAUUGUGUGGAUGGUCACAAGAUUGAAGAUCUGGUCAUCAUUUUUGAAAAUGUUGAAGCAAUGCCUAACCCAAGUCCUAUUUUGAUUCAUGCUGUGAUUGAGAAAGGGAAAGCAUAUGCCCCAGCAGAAGCAGUUGCUGACAACAUAUGGUAAGACCACUUUAUUUGUCUUGUUCUAGCAGAAUUAUGAGUAUUAAUCAAUUUGUUCAACGCUUAUACUCACAAAAUGCAAUUUCAGUUGUUAAGGGAAGUUUGACCCACCAUUUGGCCAUCCGUUUAAGCCAAAAUUCUCUCCAAUUACAAACACCCACUACUUCUUUGAAUCUUUAAUAACGAAAGCAGAAACCGACAAUAAGAUAGCAGCCAUUCAUGCAACCAUGGGUGGUGGGAGAGGUCUGAGUUAUUUCCAGAAAAAAAUUCUGGACCACUGCUUUGACACAGGGAUAGUUGAACAUAUGCUGUUACAUUUGUGGCUGCUUUAGCCGCAAAAGGUCUCUCAACCCUUUCUAUUGCAUAUUUUCACGUUUCCCGCAACAUGGAUAUGAUCAGGUGAGCUGAUAAAAGUAGAUUAAAAAAUAUCAGAGACUGACUUUAUUCUUAUAUGUCAAUUUAAAUAUAAAAAAUCAUGUAACAUUUGUAGAGUCUAUAUUGGGGAUCAAGGUGAUCCAUGACGUAGAUCUUCAGAAACUACCUGUCCGAUUUGUCAUCAGAGCUGGUUUGAUUGGUGGAGAUGGACCAACAGAUCAUGGGGCACUUGAUAUUACAAAAAUAGCUUGCUUGCCCAACAUUAGAGUAAUGGCUCCAUCUGAUUAAGCACAACUGAUGCAUAUGGUAGCAACUGUAGCAGCCAUAGAUGACAUUGAUAGAGCAAGCUGCUUUAGAGUUUAGAAUUCCAAAGGACACUGCAAUUGGAACCAUUUUCCCACUCAAUAAAGAAGGAAUCCAAAAUUGAGGUUAGCAAAAAUAACUAACACAAAUAGGAAUCAAAUAAUAAAUGUUAUGGUUAUGUAGAUAGGAAAGGGAAGAGUUAUGAAAGAAAGCAACACGAUUGCUAUUUUGAGAUAUGGUUCCAUAGUUCAACGAUCCCUGCAAGCGGUCCAAAUGCUCAAAGCACUAGACAUUUCUGUGACAGUUGCUGAUGCAAGGUUUUGCAAACCUUUGGAUACUCAUCUGAUUAAGUAAUUAGCUAAGGAGCAUGGAAUUCUCAUCACAGUUGAAGAGGGUUCUAUUGGAGGUUGUGGAUCACAUGUUUCAAAGUACCUAAACAUAUCUGGUAUCCUGGAGGUAAAUGUACCUUUGUGUAAAUGAUUCACUCUUCCCAUGACCUCAUUCCUACUAGAUUGCCCCUGUUUUUCUAGUUCUAAUUCUCUCUUGAACCUUUCCUACAGUGGAGAGCCAUGUGGCAUCCUAAUAGAUAAAUAGAGCAAGGAACACAAGAACGGACUGAAGAAACAGGACUUUCAUCAAAGCAUAUUGCCGCAACAAACUUGUCACUUUUGAAAAUGCCAAAAGAAGCUCUUUUAUUUGAGUAAAAACACAAAUAGAUAAGAAUCUUGACCCGAGACUUGAAAGACAAAUAAUAAUGUCAGAAAAUUUCAUAUUUGUUUCGUAGUUGAUAAUAAAUAAGUACCUUGGCCAAAUCAUGUUAGGAAAUAAGAGAAUCUUGUAGCAAAAUAAGUGACCUAUCUUAGUCUAGACCAUAGACUUGCAAUAGACAUCAUGCAAAUCAAUCAUUGAAACCAAUCACAUACAAUGUCUUGAUAUCAACUUAAAGCCAUGUUGUAAAGAUUGUAAAAGUCUUUACACAAAGUGUGAAAAUACUCAGAAACUCCAUUCAUAUUGGUACUGACUCACAAG
rnacentral:lncRNA from 1 species